GGAGGUGUAGCUCAGCAGUAAGGCACAUGCUUAGCAAGCAUGAGGUCCAGGGUUCAACACCCAGCACCACCA
rnacentral:tRNA from 1 species